rnacentral:lncRNA from 1 species
UUCCACCACAUUUAAUCCCCUGGAGUACUUCUUCACGCAAGUCAGUGAGAGUAAAUCCAGUGCAAAAUGAGCAGAGGAGGCAGAAAUGAGUCUGCAGGCAAAACCCCAGUGAGUCAAAGCAUCGCUCAGCGACGACAUCAAAUUGUGCUGGUAGAGGUGAGGCAGCACAAAUGCCGUGAGGAAGGUUGGGGCUCGUUAGUGUCUGUGAGGGUUUCUUUCAGACAUGAGCACAGUCUGAAAUCUGAAGUCCAUAAAAACCUUUCAGUCACUCUGGAUUUGGCUCUAAGAGAGAAGAGAAGGUUCUGGCGUUGAGUUUGAACAUACCAGAGCAACUCAAGCCAUUGAACUGGUGGCAAUGUCACAGUGGAAAGAAAAAGGAAGCAGAACUGAAGAAACUUCUGAGAAAUGUAAAAACCAGUUAACUGGACAGGAAUUGAACAAGUCAUCAAGCAUUAUGGGAAGAGGCUGGUUCCUAAAGGCUUCCAGUAUGGGACAUCCUGACUGGUAAGGAAUCACGGGUGAACUGUCCAUCCUGUCACACUGAGCAGAAAGUUUGCUACUGAUUUCAAAGAACUGAGAUUUUUACCCACAGGAAAUCAAGCACGUAUAAAGAUCACCGCCCAGCUCUUCAGCAGCCCUCCAUCCAGAGGAUGAGUCAUCUGCCAGCAGAACAGAAGGGCACUGGUGGGAGCUCUAUUCCAAAGAGCAUGCAAAGAAUUAGAGGAACGAAAGGAAUUGCUCUUCUUUCUUCAAGUUCUGGCUGUCUGGGCUGUAACGCAAUGACCACACAUCGGGAGCGUGCUGCAACUCACUGGGAGCUAACAGACGGAAUUGCUGCAGGCAGCAGGGUGCCUUCUGGGUCCCCAGGAGAUGAUCAUUCCCGAAGGGGCUUCUAAGCUAAGGAGGCAGUAUCCGGACCGGAGCAGGAGCAGAGGACACCGUGCUGACACAGCCGCGUCUCCCCAGCCGCAAAUAGGCGCGCUGCGUGCCUCAAACCACUUCCAUUUGUAUCUGCGCAGACGGAUGUCAGAGAUAUUGAGCAACGUCUCUCUGUGCCCUUCAGUACGCAAAUCAACCCCGUUUCUCUUCCCGGAAUUUCCCCUAGAGCGGUUAUUAAUUAGAGACAGAGAAGCAGCAUUGGCUUAUCUAUUAAAACGAUGAAAUGUAAAUUCAGAUGGAUGCAGAGAAACACUUAUUUUCUCUAUUUACUCUCAAUUUGCAUCUC